GCCUUGAUGGGCUAGUUGGUUAUGUCGUCGGUCUCAUAGUGACGCUUACACAAGCGGCAAUCCGAAGGUCGGGAGUUCGAUCCUCCCUCGGGGCA
rfam:Serendipita vermifera MAFF 305830 unplaced genomic scaffold scaffold_4, whole genome shotgun sequence.